UGCAUUAGUGUGAUGUAAACGCAAAGUCGAAUUACUUAUAAAAUAUAUAUACUUUGGCGUCAGCCACCUUAAUAAUUUUGCAUUUGUGUGUAUACAAAGUUUUUACAAAUAAAAGAACUAUUGAAUUUCUUUAGUACAGAUAUUAAUUUCGUAAGUGGUGGAUAUAUUGCCCAGCGUAAUAUUUCGUAUAAAACAAAGGUGUUUUUUUAAUAAAAAUAAUACCAAACUUUAUUUAAAAAGAACUUAAUAAAUUGAAAUGCCCCGAAGGUGUAGCGUACCAGGAUGCAACAGCAAUGCUCUACGAAGAAGGAAGUACGGAAAAACUAUCUCUACCUUUAUUUUUCCCAAGAACGAAGUCAUGCGAAAUAAAUGGAUAGAAGCAAUAGGAAUAAAGGAUUGGGCACCAAAAAAGAGUUCAUCGGUAUGCAUUCGACAUUUUCGGCCGGAAGACAUACAACAUAAAUAUAUGAUACAAAAUGAAGAAACACAGUAUGAUUUGCCGAAACCAAAAUUGUUUAGGGGCGCAGUACCUUCCAUGUUUUUGAGACGGCCGCUUCAAAAAGAAAUGGAAGAAGAAGAAAUGAAAAACCAAAAAAUUUUUGUAAGCGAUAUUAAAAAAUCAUUAACAAACAAAAAAAGUCUGAUUUGCUCAGCACAUAACCGACCGAAAUGUGUAUUGUCUAGUUAAGUGAAAAUGUUACAGAACAUUAUGAAAAUGUCUGUUAAAUUCUUCUUUCUAAUUUUUAAAACAUUAGUAACCUUAUAGUUAACAUACCUAGAAAAAUGUAAAUUUGGCUCUUAGUGGAAUUCUGCUUUGUGCUACCAGAAUUCCCUGCAAUUCUCGUCAGUUAGUUUCAGUAACAAUCAGAACUGAAAUAUCAAAUUUCAAAAAUUUAUAUAUUCAUUGUUUUAAUACGAAGAAUUUAAAUAUUCAAUUUCAAUGAAAUCGGUUGAUUAUUUCUCUUUAUAUACGCAAAAAUGUAUAUUUGGCCCAUAGUAAACGUCUAGUUGCUGACACCUGAUUUCUUCCAAAAGUUACGAGGUUUCGCGGACGGUCGAGCUGAGCUUAUAUAUGAAAUUUCAAGCAAAUCGGUUGAAUAGUUUCUUUAAAAUGCUCAAAAAUGUAAAACAGGUCCGCUAAAAAGUGCAGUUCCCGAAGCCUGAUUUAUCCCAAAAGUUGAUCAAUCUGUGCCAUGGUCGAAAUAAACUUACAUAUAAAAUUUCAUCAAAAUCGGUUCAGCAGAACUUGAGAUACACCCGUCCACGCACAGACCGACAGACGACAGGUUGCUAAAAAUAGUUUAUUUACACUUCCCUACUAUGGAGAAGUGCAAUCCCACGGAAAACUCGAUAUGUAAAAUUUGUUGCCAUCACAUAACCUACCUAUUGUAUACGCAAUACGGUCUGUAAUUAGUGCGAAUAUUUUAAAACAUUUCAAUGUGUAUAACAAUGUGUGUAACGACUAUGUUGUAUUUUAUAUUGUAAAUAAUGAUAAACAAAAAGGGUGUAGUUCUAAAAGUAGAAAAGUGAUAAAAUUUAAGUGUUAAUAAAUUUGUAAAAGAAACUUUAGUUCCUAUAAAAGACUUAGAAUGGAUUGUUCCAAAAACCUUAAAAUUAACGUUAUGGUGUCAAUUAGAAAAUUUGUUGAUUCGAUAAAAAAAUUUUCAAACGUCAGAUUUGUCGCAAGAUUUUAAUGAUCUUUUAGAAAACUCUUUGCGCAUUCUUUACCUUUGAAUAUAAUAAGAUCCCAAAUUACCGUGAGCAUUUCUAAUUCAUUUAAAAAUACCUAAUGUAAGAACAUGUAUAUGUAUAUAUUUCUCAAUAAGAAGUAUGAUGAAUGAUGAUCAAGCCGGUUUCACUCAAGUCAAUAGAAAAUUUUACCUACUUGAUUUGAAAUGUUACGCAUAGAACAUAAAUGUAUGUAUAUUCAUUAGAAAUAUUCGUUUUAAAUUUCUAAAAUUUUUUAAGACAAUAUUAAAAUAAAAAUAAAAAAUUCAUAAUUUAUAUUUUAUCAAUAAAUGCAUUGACAAUUACCAAUUACAAAUUUAAAUUUUUUUAA